GCAUAGUGGUGCCGUCUGUCUUCAGAACCUUCUACUUCCUUUGUUGCCCACAAUUUGUGCUCUAUUUUCUCUUUUAACUAUAGUCAAAAAAAUAGAAUAUGGACAGAAAUGGUUGCUACAUCCUCUUUACUACAAGACUGAAUGACAAAUACAAAAAGUUUUCUGUGGCUGUUUUUGCAUAGCAUCCCAAAGAGGAAAAGAACAAUUGUUUUUAAAAGGUUUGAUCCCAAGGGGAGUAAUUCAAAGGUGAAGACAUAUACAUAG
rnacentral:lncRNA from 1 species